rnacentral:rRNA from 1 species
UACGUAGGCAGCGAGCGUUGUUCGGAGUUACUGGGCGUAAAGAGUGCGUAGGCGGUUUUCUAAGUUUGGUGUGAAAUCUCCCGGCUCAACUGGGAGGGUGCGCCGAAGACUGGAAGGCUUGAGUAUGGGAGAGGUAAGCGGAAUUCCUGGUGUAGCGGUGAAAUGCGUAGAGAUCGGGAAGAACGCCGGCGGCGAAAGCGACUCUCUGGUCGGAAUCUGACGCUGAGGUGCGAAAGCUAGGGGAGCAAACGGG